UACGGAGGGUGCGAGCGUUGUCCGGAAUCAUUGGGCGUAAAGGGCGCGUAGGUGGCGGCUUAAGCGUGCGGUGAAAGCUCGGGGCUCAACCCCGAGUCGGCCGUGCGAACUGAGUCGCUUGAGCACUGUAGAGGCAGGCGGAAUUCCGGGUGUAGCGGUGGAAUGCGUAGAGAUCCGGAAGAACACCGGUGGCGAAGGCGGCCUGCUGGGCAGUAGCUGACACUGAGGCGCGACAGCGUGGGAGCAAC
rnacentral:rRNA from 1 species